AACGAACGCUGGCGGCAGGCUUAACACAUGCAAGUCGAACGCCCCGCAAGGGGAGUGGCAGACGGGUGAGUAACGCGUGGGAACAUACCCUUUCCUGCGGAAUAGCUCCGGGUAACUGGAAUUAAUACCGCAUACGCCCUACGGUGGAAAGAUUUAUCGGGGAAGGAUUGGCCCGCGUUGGAUUAGCUAGUUGGUGGGGUAAAGGCCUACCAAUGCGACGAUCCAUAGCUGGUCUGAGAGGAUGAUCAGCCACAUUGGGACUGGGACACGGCCCAAAAUCCUACGGGAGGAAGCAGUGGGGAAUAUUGGAAAAUGGGCGAAAGCCUGAACCAGCCAUGAGGCGUGAGUGAUGAAGGCCUUAGGGUAGUAAAGCUGUUUCAACGAUGAAGAUAAUGACGGUAGUCGGAGAAGAAGCCCCGGCUAACUUCGUG
rnacentral:rRNA from 1 species